rnacentral:rRNA from 1 species
UACAGAGGGUGCGAGCGUUAAUCGGAAUUACUGGGCGUAAAGGGCGCGUAGGCGGCCUGCUAAGUCGAACGUGAAAUCCCUGGGCUCAACCCAGGAACUGCGUCCGAUACUGGUUGGCUUGAAUCCGGGAGAGGGAUGUGGAAUUCCAGGUGUAGCGGUGAAAUGCGUAGAUAUCUGGAGGAACACCGGUGGCGAAGGCGACGCUCUGGACCGAGACUGACGCUGAGGCGCGAAAGCGUGGGGAGCAAACAGG